GUUACAUUGUAACAAAAGUGGUGUAGCGGCUCCUCCGGCCCGCACCCCCAGGCCCACCCGCCACCAGCUGUCGUCGAUAUGGAACCCGUGGCCAGCAACAUCCAGGUCCUGCUGCAGGCAGCCGAGUUCCUGGAACGCCGGGAGAGAGAGGCUGAGCAUGGCUACGCGUCUCUGUGCCCGCACCGCAGUCCGGGCUCCGUCCACAGGAGAAGGAAGCGAUCCCCACAAGCUUCUGGCACGCCGGACAGUGGACGGUCUGUGCACAAUGAGCUGGAGAAGCGCAGGAGGGCCCAGCUGAAGCGGUGCCUGGAGCAGCUGAAGCAGCAGAUGCCCCUGGGAGCUGACUGUGCCCGAUACACUACACUGAGUCUCCUGCGCCGGGCCAGGAUGCACAUCCAAGGUGGCUGGAUAACACCCUCGCCGGAUAGCAGGCCUGUUUCUCACAUGGAGCUUGCCUGGCCUGGUUCUUGGAGGGAUGGUAUGCCCCUCAGAAGCUGGAGGAGCAAGAGCAGCGGGCCCGGCGGCUCAAGGAGAAGCUGCGCAGCCGGCAGCAGAGCCUGCGGCAGCAGCUGGAACAGCUCCGGGCGCCCCUAGGGGCAGGCGAGCGGGAGCGGGUAAGGGCAGACAGCCUGGACUCCUCGGGCCUCUCCUCCGAGCGCUCUGACUCAGACCAAGAGGAACUGGAGGUGGACGUGGAGAGCCUGGUGUUUGGGGGUGCAGAGGCCGAACUGCUGCCAGGCUUCCGUGCGGGUCGGGAGCACAGUUACUCACACGGUGGCGCCUGGCUAUGACCCUCGACACCCCAAAGCACACCUCUGCCCGCAGCCUGCCCUCCACCCCACUCUGCCAGGUAGGAGCCCUACCCCAAGCCUCAGGGGCUGCUUGGAGUCACCUCCAGUUGGAAUGGACUAAAAGGACGUUUGCGUGGGCACAGGCAGUCCCCUGCCCUGUGGUGCUGCCACAUCUCUCCUGGGAGCAGAGCCUGGCCUCCCUGAGCCCCACAGGCAGGCAAGGCAGGCAAGGCAGGCAGACAGGCAGUUUUGGCCUGAGCUGCUUUUCCAGGCAGUUUUUUGUAGCACUUGGCUCCGCUGUCCCCAUGGGGACAGGAAGCCUCUUGGGCCCUCAUGUUCCUUCCUGGACAAGGCCCCCUGGCCUUUGCCCCAUACUGUACAGUAUUUUCAUUAAAAGGCUCUUUCUUAACUUCC